rnacentral:snRNA from 1 species
UCGCUUCUCGGCCUUUUGGCUAAGAUCAAGUGUAGUAU